UGAGUACGAGAUGCUACGGCAUCGAAGCAGUCUAUGUCAUACUUCCAGGAAAAGCUUGCACUGUCAGAAACAGAUAAUGCCUGUACCAUAACCGACACAGGUGGGUAGGUAGAGUAUACUAAGGGGCGCGAGAUAACUCUCUCUAAGGAACUCGGCAAAAUGACUCCGUAACUUCGGGAGAAGGAGUGCCUUAUUUUUAAGGUUGCAAUAACAAGAUCCAAGCAACUGUUUACCAAAAACACAGGUCUCCGCUAAGUCGUAAGACGAUGUAUGGGGGCUGACGCCUGCCCAGUGCCAGAAGGUUAAAGAAGUCGGUUAGCAUUCGCGAAGCUGGUAACUGAAGCCCUGGUGAACGGCGGCCGUAACAAUAACGGUCCUAAGGUAGCGAAAUUCCUUGUCGGGUAAGUUCCGACCCGCACGAAAGGCGUAAUGAUUUGGAUACUGUCUCGGAGAGGGGCUCGGUGAAAUAGACUUGUCUGUGAAGAUGCGGACUACCUGCACCUGGACAGAAAGACCCUAUGAAGCUUUACUGUAACUUGAAAUUGAAAUUGGACUUUAUUUGCGCAGUAUAGGUGGGAGGCGUUGAAAAUAUUCUUGCGGGAAUAUUGGAGCCAUCAGUGAGAUACCACUCUUGUAAUGUUAGAUUUCUAACUUUAUAUCAUUAUCUGGUUAAAGAACAGUUUCAGGCGGGCAGUUUGACUGGGGCGGUCGCCUCCCAAAUGGUAACGGAGGCGCACAAAGGUUUCCUCUGAACGGGUAGAAAUCGUAUCUAGAGUGUAAAGGCAUAAGGAAGCUUGACUGUGAGACCUACAAGUCGAGCAGGGACGAAAGUCGGUCUUAGUGAUCUGACGGUGCUGAGUGGAAAGGCCGUCACUCAACGGAUAAAAGUUACUCUAAGGAUAACAGGCUGAUCUCCCCCAAGAGUUCACAUCGACGGGGAGGUUUGGCACCUCGAUGUCGGCUCAUCGCAUCCUGGGGCGGUAGUACGUCCCAAGGGUUGGGCUGUUCGCCCAUGAAAGCGGUACGCGAGCUGGGUUCAGAACGUCGUGAGACAGUUCGGUCCAUAUCCGGUGUAGGCGUUAGAAUAUUGAGAGGAGCCUUCUUUAGUACGAGAGGACCGAGAAGGACAUACCUCUGGUGUACCAGUUAUCGUGCCAACGGUAAACGCUGGGUAGCUAUGUAUGGAGUGGAUAACCGCUGAAAGCAUCUAAGUGGGAAGCCCACCUCAAGAUAAGUAUUCUCAUC
rnacentral:rRNA from 1 species